AACGAACGCUGGCGGCGUGCCUAACACAUGCAAGUCGAGCGAUGAAGCCCUUCGGGGUGGAUUAGCGGCGGACGGGUGAGUAACACGUGGGUAACCUGCCUCAAAGAGGGGGAUAGCCUCCCGAAAGGGAGAUUAAUACCGCAUAACAUUAGUUUUUCGCAUGAAGAACUAAUUAAAGGAGCAAUCCGCUUUGAGAUGGACCCGCGGCGCAUUAGCUAGUUGGUGAGGUAAAGGCUCGCCAAGGCGACGAUGCGUAGCCGACCUGAGAGGGUGAUCGGCCACAUUGGAACUGAGACACGGUCCAGACUCCUACGGGAGGCAGCAGUGGGGAAUAGUGCACAAUGGGCGAAAGCCUGAUGCAGCAACGCCGCGUGAGUGAUGAAGGCCUUCGGGUUGUAAAGCUCUGUCUUUUGGGACGAUAAUGACGGUACCAAAGGAGGAAGCCACGGCUAACUACGUGCCAGCCGCCGCAGUAACAC
rnacentral:rRNA from 1 species